UAUUCCUAUCACAUCAAUUAAUGGGAAAAGUACUAAAUCUUCAAAGAAGGGAAGAUCAGCUGGGAAUAAAAGCAAAAGAAGAAAUAGAUGGAACAUUUCACGCAACCACGACCUCAAAUUCGUUUAAUAAGCAAAGAUGGUGGAGAAACAAUCAAAUCAUCAAAUGAAGGCAAAAACCCUACGCCAGCCAACAGAAGUGGAGGCAAAACGUAACGAUUAAUAGGAGAGGAAAAUACGCACCUGACACAAUGUGAGGAGCAACAUGAAACGUAAAUCAGCAUAAAACCUGAAGCAAGACAAAUCAAUUCAAAUAGUUAUAAAUUGCGUAGAUUGUUACUGAAUUAUCAUACCGCUCCGAUAAGUCUGAUAUUAACGUUAAUACUAAUGCAGAUGCAAGUAAGUCAAUGUAGUACAACGUGUGAUGAACAAAGCUAAUCAAAUAAUAAACACCACAUACUACCGUAUAAUUACUGAACCACAAUAUAGAAAUAAAA